rnacentral:rRNA from 1 species
CCUACGGGUGGCUGCAGUGGGGGAUAUUGCACAAUGGGGGGAACCCUGAUGCAGCGACGCCGCGUGGGUGAAGGAGCGUUUCGGCGCGUAAAGCCCUAUCGGCAGGGAAGAAGGAGGACGGUACCUGACUAAGAAGCCCCGGCUAACUACGUGCCAGCAGCCGCGGUAAUACGUAGGGGGCAAGCGUUAUCCGGAUUUACUGGGUGUAAAGGGGGCGCAGACGGCAGCGCAAGCCAGGAGUGAAAGCCCGGGGCCCAACCCCGGUGCUACUACCAAAACUGUUGAACUUGAGUGCAGGAGGGGUGAAUGGAAUUCCCAGUGUAGCGGUGGAAUGCGUAGAUAUUGGGAAGAACACCAGCGGCGAAGGCGAUUCACUGGACUGUAACUGACACUGAGGCACGAAAGCGUGGGGAGCAAACAGGAUUAGAUACCCGGGUAGUC